rnacentral:rRNA from 1 species
UGGGGAAUAUUGCACAAUGGGGGAAACCCUGAUGCAGCGACGCCGCGUGAGUGAAGAAGUAUUUCGGUAUGUAAAGCUCUAUCAGCAGGGAAGAAGAUGACGGUACCUGAGUAAGAAGCACCGGCUAAAUACGUGCCAGCAGCCGCGGUAAUACGUAUGGUGCAAGCGUUAUCCGGAUUUACUGGGUGUAAAGGGAGCGUAGGUGGCAUGGCAAGCCAGAAGUGAAAGCCCGGGGCUUAACCGCGGGACUGCUUUUGGAACUGUUGUGCUGGAGUGCAGGAGGGGUAAGCGGAAUUCCUGGUGUAGCGGUGAAAUGCGUAGAUAUCAGGAGGAACACCGGUGGCGAAGGCGGCUUACUGGACUGUAACUGACACUGAGGCUCGAAAGCGUGGGGAGCAAACAGG